GCUGGGUGUUGUCAUGCACACCUGUAAUCCCAGCUACUCGGGAGGCUGAAGCAGGAGGAUCUCAAGUUCAAGGUUAGCCUGGGCAAUUUAGCAAGACCCUGUCUCAA
rnacentral:sRNA from 1 species